CACCAAUCAAGCCUGGCUUGGUGUUGGGCCCCGGGGGCGACCCGGGCCUCAAAGUGGUCGGCUGGAAAGCUCUGAUCUCAGCGUCGUGGUUAAACAUUCGCGAAGAGAGGGGCGGUCUGCGCCGUUAAAAUCACACAA
rnacentral:misc_RNA from 1 species